rnacentral:lncRNA from 1 species
UUCGGUUGAGUGACUCCAUGCACAAACUGAAACGUAACUGAUAUUUGAUUAUUGUGGGUUUGCCUGGUUCCCCUCAAGGUCUGGCUCAUGGUCAACGGGCUUUUAGGGGACUUUCUACCGCCGAUGUGCCCGUGACAGUUGGUAGGAGAAAGAGGAACUUGGGGCUGGGCUCCGAAAGAGGAACCUUCGGGUCAGGUCCCGACACGACCCGGCUGCAUCCGUUUACCGGGCCUUCGGAAAGGAAAAACAAGCGGCGGCCAGACAUGACUUCGAGUCACAGCUCCUCUGGCUUUUGACAAGGACGUGGAGGGCAUGCAGGGUCAGGCAAGGCCUGUGUCCAUAUAACAUAUGAAGAUCUCUGGAAUAUUUGUGAAGCGCAAACUGUACACUUGUUAUAUUUAGCUGAUACAAAACAGCAACUUACACCAAUUUACCCAUUUAUACACCAACCAACUAAUGUCAACGACUGCUUGUCCUAAGCAGGACCACAGUGAACCGGAGCCUGACCCGGCAACACAGGGCACAAGGCCAAAGGAGGA